rnacentral:rRNA from 1 species
GACGAACGCUGGCGGCGUGCUUAACACAUGCAAGUCGAACGGAAAGGCCCCGCUUUUGUGGCGUGCUCGAGUGGCGAACGGGUGAGUAACACGUGAGUUACCUGCCCCUGACUUUUGGAUACCUUCAGGUAACUGGGGCUACUACCGGAUAGCAGCUCCUGCUGCAUGGUGGGGGUUGGAUAGUUUCGGCGGUUGGGGAUGGACUCGUGGCUUAUCUGCUUGUUGGUGGGGUAGUGGCUUACCAAGCCUUUGACGGGUGGCCGGCCUGGGAGGGUGACCGGCCACAUGGGGAUUGGAAUAGGGCCCGACCUCCAACGGGAGCCAGAGGUGGGUAUUUUUCUACAUAGGGCGGAACCCUGCUGCAGCACGGCCGGUUGCGGGAUGACGGCCUUCGGGUUUAAAACGACUUUCGCCGGUGACGAAGCGUGAGUGACGGUAAUGGGUAAAGAAGCACCGGCUAACUACGUG